ensembl:miRNA
GAUCCUGUGCUCCCUGGGGGGUCUGAUCCUGUGCUUCCUGGGAGGUGUGAUAUCGUGGUUCCUGGGAGGUGUGAUCCCAUGCUUCCUGGGAGGUGUGAUAUCGUGGUUCCUGGGAGGUGUGAUCCCAUGCUUCCUGGGAGGUGUGAUC